rnacentral:rRNA from 1 species
GAGUUUGAUCAUGGCUCAGAUUGAACGCUGGCGGCAGGCCUAACACAUGCAAGUCGAACGGUAACAGGAAGCAGCUUGCUGCUUCGCUGACGAGUGGCGGACGGGUGAGUAAUGUCUGGGAAACUGCCUGAUGGAGGGGGAUAACUACUGGAAACGGUGGCUAAUACCGCAUAACGUCGCAAGACCAAAGAGGGGGACCUUCGGGCCUCUUGCCAUCAGAUGUGCCCAGAUGGGAUUAGCUUGUUGGUGAGGUAACGGCUCACCAAGGCGACGAUCCCUAGCUGGUCUGAGAGGAUGACCAGCCACACUGGAACUGAGACACGGUCCAGACUCCUACGGGAGGCAGCAGUGGGGAAUAUUGCACAAUGGGCGCAAGCCUGAUGCAGCCAUGCCGCGUGUAUGAAGAAGGCCUUCGGGUUGUAAAGUACUUUCAGCGGGGAGGAAGGUGUUGUGGUUAAUAACCGCAGCAAUUGACGUUACCCGCAGAAGAAGCACCGGCUAACUCCGUGCCAGCAGCCGCGGUAAUACGGAGGGUGCAAGCGUUAAUCGGAAUUACUGGGCGUAAAGCGCACGCAGGCGGUCUGUCAAGUCGGAUGUGAAAUCCCCGGGCUCAACCUGGGAACUGCAUUCGAAACUGGCAGGCUUGAGUCUUGUAGAGGGGGGUAGAAUUCCAGGUGUAGCGGUGAAAUGCGUAGAGAUCUGGAGGAAUACCGGUGGCGAAGGCGGCCCCCUGGACAAAGACUGACGCUCAGGUGCGAAAGCGUGGGGAGCAAACAGGAUUAGAUACCCUGGUAGUCCACGCCGUAAACGAUGUCUACUUGGAGGUUGUGCCCUUGAGGCGUGGCUUCCGGAGCUAACGCGUUAAGUAGACCGCCUGGGGAGUACGGCCGCAAGGUUAAAACUCAAAUGAAUUGACGGGGGCCCGCACAAGCGGUGGAGCAUGUGGUUUAAUUCGAUGCAACGCGAAGAACCUUACCUGGUCUUGACAUCCACAGAAGAAUCCAGAGAUGGAUUUGUGCCUUCGGGAACUGUGAGACAGGUGCUGCAUGGCUGUCGUCAGCUCGUGUUGUGAAAUGUUGGGUUAAGUCCCGCAACGAGCGCAACCCUUAUCCUUUGUUGCCAGCGAUUAGG